rnacentral:rRNA from 1 species
AGUAAUGUCUGGGAAACUGCCUGAUGGAGGGGGAUAACUACUGGAAACGGUAGCUAAUACCGCAUAAUGUCGCAAGACCAAAGUGGGGGACCUUCGGGCCUCAUGCCACCAGAUGUGCCCAGAUGGGAUUGGCUAGUAGGUGGGGUAACGGCUCACCUAGGCGACGAUCCCUAGCUGGUCUGAGAGGAUGACCAGCCACACUGGAACUGAGACACGGUCCAG